GUGAGGAAUAUUGGUCAAUGGGCGAGAGCCUGAACCAGCCAAGUCGCGUGAAGGAAGAAGGAUCUAUGGUUCGUAAACUUCUUUUGCAGGGGAAUAAAGUGCAGGACGUGUCCUGUUUUGUAUGUACCCUGAGAAUAAGGAUCGGCUAACUCCGUGCCAGCAGCCGCGGUAAUACGGAGGAUCCGAGCGUUAUCCGGAUGUAUUGGGUUUAAAGGGUGCGUAGGUGGUUUGAUAAGUCAGCGGUGAAAGUUUGCAGCUUAACUGUAAAAAUGCCGUUGAAACUGUCGGACUUGAGUGUGAAUGAGGUAGGCGGAAUGCGUGGUGUAGCGGUGAAAUGCAUAGAUAUCACGCAGAACUCCGAUUGCGAAGGCAGCUUACUAAGCUACAACUGACACUGAAGCACGAAAGCGUGGGGAUCAAACAGGAUUAGAUACCCGGGUAGUCC
rnacentral:rRNA from 1 species